rnacentral:rRNA from 1 species
ACCCGCUGAACUUAAGCAUAUCAAUAAGCGGAGGAAAAGAAACCAACAGGGAUUGCCCCAGUAACGGCGAGUGAAGCGGCAACAGCUCAAAUUUGAAAGCUGGCUCCGUCCCCGGUGCCCGCGUUGUAAUUUGCAGAGGAUGCUUCUGGCGACGCGCCUUCCGAGUUCCCUGGAACGGGACGCCAAAGAGGGUGAGAGCCCCGUCCGGUCGUGCGCCUAGCCUCCGUGAAGCUCCUUCGACGAGUCGAGUAGUUUGGGAAUGCUGCUCAAAAUGGGAGGUAUACGUCUCCUAAAGCUAAAUACCGGCCAGAGACCGAUAGCGCACAAGUAGAGUGAUCGAAAGAUGAAAAGCACUUUGAAAAGAGAGUUAAACAGUACGUGAAAUUGUUGAAAGGGAAGCGCUCGUGGCCAGACUUGGGCCUGGCUCGAUCAUCCGGCGCUCGCCGCCGGUGCACUCGGGCCAGCCCAGGCCAGCAUCAGCUUCCGCCGGGGGACAAAGGCGGCGGGAAUGUGGCUCCCUAGGGAGUGUUAUAGCCCGCCGCGCAAUACCCCGGCCCGGGGGCUGAGGUUCGCGCGUCCGCACGGAUGCUGGCGUAAUGGUCAC